CUACGGGUGGCUCCAGUGGGGAAUAUUGGACAAUGGGGGGAACCCUGAUCCAGCCAUGCCGCGUGUGUGAAGAAGGCCUUUUGGUUGUAAAGCACUUUAAGCAGUGAAGAAGACUCUUCGGUUAAUACCCGGGGACGAUGACAUUAGCUGCAGAAUAAGCACCGGCUAACUCUGUGCCAGCAGCCGCGGUAAUACAGAGGGUGCAAGCGUUAAUCGGAAUUACUGGGCGUAAAGCGAGCGUAGGUGGCUUGAUAAGUCAGAUGUGAAAUCCCCGGGCUUAACCUGGGAACUGCAUCUGAAACUGUUAGGCUAGAGUAGGGGAGAGGGAAGUAGAAUUUCAGGUGUAGCGGUGAAAUGCGUAGAGAUCUGAAGGAAUACCGAUGGCGAAGGCAGCUUCCUGGCAUCAUACUGACACUGAGGCUCGAAAGCGUGGGUAGCAAACAGGAUUAGAUACCCGUGUAGUC
rnacentral:rRNA from 1 species